rnacentral:lncRNA from 1 species
UAAAACGGUUUCAUUCCCAACUCCAGCGUUCUUCAUUCUUGCUUUCAUGUUCUUCAAAUAUCUUUGGCAUUAAUAAUUAACAUACCACUGACUUGUCAUUUUUUUAUGGAGCACCUAAUGUUUCCAUCAAAUUCUGCAGGUCACUAUUGAUACCCAUUGUUUCUACCUUUAUAAGUUUGAAGUGAAAAUAUAUCUUUGUGUUAGCUAUGGUACAAGAUAGCAAAGUUAUUACGUAGAAGUUUAUAGAUAGAGAUUUUUAAUGGCUGUGCUAAUCACAAAGAAUUUUGUAAACAGGAAAUGUACUUCCAUGAAACACUCUCUCUCUCUCUCUCUCUCCCUCCCUCCCUCCCUCCCUCUCUCUCUCUUCCUUUGUCUCUGUCUUCUCUUCCCCCUUCCCUCCCUCUUUUCCUCCUUUCUUUCCUAUCUUUCUGUGUGUGUCUGUGUGUAUGUGUGUGUGAGUACAUGAGUGCAUGUGUGCAUACGUGAAAGUUCACAUAUAUAAGAGAGAGGGAAAGAGAGAGAGAUGAGAGAUGUAAAGAGGUGUAGACAUGCAUAACACAGCAUGCAUGUAGAUGUCAGAAUCACGUGUGGCAGUGGGUUCUCCUUCCACCCGCAUGCUAUCUCUAUAAUCUUUCUCCUUCCCAUUUUAUCUGGCAACAUAUUUGCAUUGAUUAAUCAAUAAAAGUUCAUUGUACCUUUUCAUC